GGGGUGUAUAGCUAAGUGGUAAGUAUUCGACUACAGAUUGAGAGGUCUCCGUUUCAAACCCGGGUUUCCCCU